AUUUAAAAUCGAUGUGUACAAUCGUGAAAUUAUGAGGUCGUCAAGAAAUGAACUUUGUGAUAAUCUACUCGUUCCCCAAACCUGAAAUAGUUCUAUCGUCUGCCUUCAAAAUAUCUAUUAAAUGAAUGUGACCGUCUUUCGCCUGAAAUGUUUGCCAUACUGACAUUUUCAGCAUGUUGAAGAUAGCUAAAUGACAACUGCGUCUUCAAAACAACUGUUUACUUUCAGUUUGUGUUUAUCGUGACUUUCGAUGUAAAAUCUAGAGACGUUCCGAAAUCCUGCACUUGUGUCAACUCGGCCAAUAUAGAAUAACUCGGCCAAUACAGAAAAAAAAUCUAUAUUGGCCGAGUUAUUCUGUAUUGGCCCAGUUUACACAUUAUAUUGCAUAGGCAGUUUUCAUCAUAUUAAGUCCAAUAACAGUGUAGUUAAUUAAUAAUAAAGUUUA
rnacentral:lncRNA from 1 species